rnacentral:rRNA from 1 species
CAGCACCUCAAGUGGUCAGGAUGAUUAUUGGGCCUACAGCAUCCGUAGCCGGCGCUGUAAGUUUUCGGUUAAAUCUGUACGCUCAACGUACAGGCUGCCGGGAAUACUGCAGCGCUAGGGAGUGGGAGAGGUAGACGGUACUCGGUAGGAAGGGGUAAAAUCCUUUGAUCUAUUGAUGACCACCUGUGGCGAAGGCGGUCUACCAGAACACGUCCGACGGUGAGGGAUGAGAGCUGGGGGAGCAAACCGGAUUAGAUACCCGAGUAGUCC